UGUUUGAUUUGCUUUGAAAUCGAUUAUCCGGAUUUUCGAUUAUACGGAACACCCCUGGUUUUAUUUGAUCCGGAUAAUCGGGAUUCUACUGUACUACCGUUCCGAUAUAUCCAUAUAAUAUUCUCAUCAAUAAAAAAAAUUAAUAAACAUCUCAUCUAGAUUGCUACGAGUAUAUCGAACAAUGUAAAAUUAAAUGACAUAGUACUUAGCUUGGAAUAAGGUUUUGAGGGUCUACUUAAGGUCCUGAAACUGGAGCAAGGUAGUAAGUAAGUAAGCAAAUAAGGUCUAUGAAUCAAAUUCUAGACGGGCAUAAGGAAGGAAGGAGUUAAAGUGGUCACUUGGAACGAAAGUCAGCAGAUGAUCUACAAGGGUUCUUGGUACGAAGAGAUGACUAAUGCACACUAUGGUCAUUCACGGCUUUGGAUUCGAAUCACUUGGUUAAGGUAUAAACUAGUGAUGCAUCGCAAACGUUUUUAACAUACAUACAUACAUAUGUAUGUACCUCGCAUGCCCAAGACCAACAUGAAGAUUUAAUUUAAUCGUAUUUGGCGGAAGGAGCUAAAGAAUACUCAUUUAACUAGUGUGCAAUGGAGUCCAGAUAAGCGUUUAAUAUUAUUUGGGUUAGCUAAUGGUGAAUGCCAUCUUUAUGACAACCAAGGAAAUUUUGCGAUGAAGCUGAAUAUACAGUGCGUCACCCUUAGUCCAAAUAGAAAUUUUAGAAUCUCGGCACUUUGUUGGUAUAGCGGACGGGCACCAUCCAACCGACCAGUUCUAGCUGUUUGUUUUGAGACGUGCAAAUUGCAAAUUAUGCGAAAUGAAAGCGAUGACGCCCCAGUUAUCAUCGAUACUGGUAUGCGAAAUAUAGCUGCUGAGUGGAAUCAAGACGGUUCUGUGCUUUCUGUUUGUGGAAUUCUUAUAGAUUUCAAUACUUCGAAAGAAUAGAAUCAAGUAAAUUUUUACUCCCCAUUCGGACAUUUGAUACGCACUUUAAAGGUUCCAGGGAAUGAGAUCUCUUCACUUUCAUGGGAAGGAAAAUCGCUACGCAUUGCAAUGGCUGUCGAUUCAUUCAUAUAUUUUGCAAAUAUACGUCCAGAUUAUAUGUGGUGUUAUUUUGAAAAAACGGUUGUUUUUCUUAAUAAAAGCAAUACCAAUCAAACGCGAAAUUCAAUGACCAAUGUUAUCACUUUCUGGAAUACAGUUUCUAAUCAGAGUUUCCUAAAGGAAGUCGAGCCAGCAUUGGGGAUGGCUGCUUGCAACGAGCAUUGUGUUUUAGCUGUAGAAUGCUUAAAUAGUAAUAUGAAGGAAAACAUUGUAACUGUUUCAACAAAUCCAAUUCAGAGUGACGAUAAAUGCUAUCAAUUAAUGUUGUGCAGUUUUAUUGGUACUACUGUGGACUGGGAUGCAUUUUCUUUUUAUGCGAAUGCAUAUUUGCAUUUGAAUUGGAAGUACGCGUACAAAAUGGACAUUUGUAAAGAAUUUCACCAGUAUGUUGUGCCAUAUGUUCCUGAAAAUACGAAUGAAGACAAAUUGAUAU